UGGUGGAUGAAGGGGGCGCAUACAAAAGACCAUAAACCUGUGGCAGCAGCUGGAGACCGAGACCGGUGAUUAAUUCAGGUCUGCGCGCUGAGUGAAAGAAGUUACUGUUCUCAUUAAUACCCUCAGUUCAUCUUCUUUGUCCUGCGGCUUCCGUCUCCACUUUAUCCUGUUUUCCGUGGACUGGAGUCCCGUCAGUGCGCAGCUGUUGUUGGCACUCCCACAUCUGCUUCUUUCAGCUCGGCAGCCAUAUAGAGAGGACGCCCAGCCGCGGUUCAUGUUACUGCGCUGCGACUCGGUCCAACCAGCCUUUCAGUACAAGCGCAAUCACUGCGCGCACACACACGACGCCCGUUUUGCCGGCUGAUCAGCACGGCAGAAGACGGAGAAAGGAAAAAGACGAAGAAGCAGCGAUCUUUUCGUAUCGUUUGGUGACAGGUGCAUGUGGAACCCGGAGAACACUGGUACCCCUGUGGAUUCAUCUACAGCGCUGCAGACGCAGACACAGGAGGCUGGGAGGAUCCAGAAGGGAACCAACAACAGGACAGGUUAUGUGUACAGACCGGAUUGUCUUUAUUAAAAUCUCGAGGGAGGUUAAUUUUCAGGUCACAUGGAAAAUUUAAUAGCCUUACCCAGUCAUUUAGAUAACUGAUAUUAAUGACGCCUAUCUUGAGUGACUCAUCUUUUCACAGUGGGGGUAUUUCAGUCCAACUUGUCUCAGCAGUAAAAGCAGUAAAAAAGAAACAAAAAAAAGAUGAAAGAACAGCCAAUACCUGGGGGAUCUUGUGAGGACAGUUGGGUUGCGUCCCACUUUUUCUGCUGCUUUGUGUUGUGUGCUCCUCUCCAGUUACAUGGAUGGAAAAAGCAGAUUGGGGGGGCUUGACAGGACCUCAUUGUACUCCCAGUGGCUUCGCUCCAUUGCCCUCUGCUGCGCUGCAUAUGGACUGUGACUGCUGCAUGGUGCCAUUUCCACUGUCCCGUACCUUCAGAAGAGAGGAUCCGUGUUCCAGUGUUUUCCUACUAAGACAUGACUUCUGCUGCUUUUGCAAAUCAGUGAAAAGAGUUAAAAUUUUAGUUGUUGCUUCAUAGUCAUCAUCAUCGUGCUAAGUUUUAGCAGGGCGCUAUUUUACAGGUGGCGUUCAGAAUAAUUUGCUGCACUGUUUUUUUUGUUGUUGUUUUCCUCUCAAAUGCAUUUUCCCUGUAAGUAAUAAGCUCAUCCUCUCCCUGAUCAAAAACACUGAUUCUGUAGCCAUCGACCUUCACUCAUGCUUGUUUCCUUUAGCUGCAGUGUGCAGUGACCUCUUUGUUGGUCUUUCUAGCAGUCUGAAGGUUUCUCCCUGUAUAAGACACUUCACUACAAGGCUUCCCUUUGUGUCUCUUCAUAGCUGGAAUACAUCUAUGACAGAUUCAUUCUAUUGCAAAGCUCUGAUAUUUUAAGAAAAAGCUGCUAAAGUGUGUGAAAAUGACAAGUUUCCUCACAUCACAGCAACAGUGUGCCAUUCACACAGUGUGUUUUUGUUUGUGUGGAAGCCUCUAAAGUGGAAUCUCGUGUGCGCGCGCGUGUGUUAAGGGGUGUCUACGUGAGUGCAUGUGUUUCUUUGCAUGUACCCUACAUGUAUGUCUGCAUGUGUCUCAUCUCAGUCUAACAAAAUGUAUUUGUAAUGGGCCUGAAGCUGUAAGCUGCUUUAAGGUGCUUUUUUCCCCACAGCUGCACACUCAGUAAUAGGUCUAUAUUCUUUUAGCCACUGGAUGUACCAGAUAAGGGAUAAAACAACAUUUACAAAUGGUUUUUAGCAUUUGUUACAACCUCAUUGAAGUACCAGUUACUAUAGUGAUUUAGAUCACAAGGAUGCCAUUGGAAAUUAAUGGUCUGUAGUUUUCUAAAUGAUGCCCGCUGGCAUUAAUUAAGCCAUCCUGAUGCCUGCGGUCCUAUCAUUUCACACUGAAGCCAAUUACAGCAAAUGCUAAUAAUUAUGUGUAAAUAGAUUUUUACCCACAUCUGGGUUGUACUAACAGUAUCUCACUAAUAUCUAACAGUACUAAUAUAUGUGCUAACAGCUGGAGGAUUACUAACCUGUACUGAGAAUGCUGUUGGCUGGCAUUUCUAACCCUGACUUCACUAACCCUCUGCUUUCUGCCCGCAGUCUGAUGUGCAUACUCCCUUUGCAUGAUCUUGCAUCCCUUCUUUUAGAUAUUUAGGUAAAUCAUUAAAAUUAGUGAAAAAAGGCGCACCAAGCAUGUCAAGAAGGGUUUUGGGACUCAAGAAGGGAAAAUAAAAAUGAUUAAGGUCAAGGUGAAGAGAAGAGCAGGAACAGCUGCUGAUAUUAAACUGGGUUGACCACACACUCGAGAACAAUUAUUACAAAAGCGAUUGCGAUCUGAUUCCAAGCUCGCACACGUCGCAGGUUAAAUUCACAUCUUUCGAGAUCAGUCUUUAUGUCUGCAUGUGCUCUGUGUGGUCAACCUGCAGGUGAGUGUCUGGCUUGAUGUCGCCGCAGACAGUACUAUCAGACAGAAGCCAAGCAAGCCUCGGCUCCAGUGCUAACUCCUUAUUGGUGCUACUAACUAACAGUGGUGAGGCUGUAAUAGUGUGUGCUUUUUUUUUUUUUUUUUAAGCACAGGACAGACCUACUACCAGCGACUGUCAGUCACCCUUGUAAAGAAGCAAGAGAGUUUUGUCUCCUAAAUUAACAGUCACUAACCCAAAGAAGAGCUUUGAAUAGCUCUCUUCAAACUAACAAACUAACCUACUAAUGAACACAUAACCAAACAAAAACUAACCACAAUCAGUAACUUUGGUCUUAGUGGCGGAAUCGUUGAAGUGCCCCAAAAUCGAGGCGCUGCAUCACUUACUGGAUGUACUAACAGAAUGAAGUUCAACAACGUGCUUGAAUGUGUGAGAGGGAGAGAUGAGUGUGUGUGUGUGUGUUCAUACGGGGGGGGGGGUGUAUUUGUGUGGAAAUGUAAGCAAGUUGCAAACUGGCUGUGAGCACUGGAAUUUGUGAUCAUAUUCAAUAAUUUAGCAUGCCAGUGCAGAUCUAUCUCCGAAUACUCUUGCAGCCUAGGUGAGCACCAGGAUAUAAAUAUUAUAAUCCUCGAACCUCUCAAUUUAUAUACUGUGUGAAAGUCUCACAAAUGUCAAGAAAAUGUCAUUAAAUGUGCUCAGCUAUUUACGUAUUUGAAUGUUAAUUUACGUUAAUUAAUGGUUACAUUGAUAUAAAUCAUGUUUUGAAAAAAAAACAGGCAAAAUAUUGGAACAACAGAAGGUGUAGCAACACGGUGUCUAAGAAGAUGUGUUAAUAAAUAAAAAACAUAGCUUGAUAGUUAUUGUAUUGUUUAUGAGCAGCAAAAUUAUAAAUUAAUAAUGUUUACUGUUUGGUUAAUGAACAUUUUCAGAAUGUUUUUUGUAAAAUUGCAACUUCUGUCUCUAAAACUGUUUAUAUAUAUAUAUAGUUAAUAAAUAUAUUGCCGGGGAUCUGUCACAAGGCCUGUGCACCCGGAGCCCGUGUUUCCUGUCCUGUUUAGUCCUGUUUUCACUCGCUGUGCAAGCAACAAACCUCUCACAAGAUUAACAGCGCACGCUGAAAGAUGACACUCAAAGUUACACAGUCCUUUAAAAUGUGAAGGCAAGAGGUCCACGUGAGGGGUGAGAGCAGUCUCACUGAUGCUGCAGCAGGUGGGCCACGCCACCAGCAGACAUGACCGAAUGUGGACAAACUCAGUGAUCAGUAAUUAAAUACACGCAACACUAUAACAUCAGAAUAUUAUUGGUAUUGUCUCAACAGCUAUAAUGCAAUAUGUGAUAUAAUGUAUAACUCAUAAGUUACACAAUCUAGUGGCAAAAUAAUGUAAACAACCAGCAUUACUG